GAUGAAGAACGUAGCGAAAUGCGAUACUUGUUGUGAAUUGCAGAAUCCCGUGAACCAUCGAGUCUUUGAACGCAAGUUGCGCCCGAAGCCAUUAGGCCGAGGGCACGCCUGCCUGGGCGUCACACGUCGUUGCCCCCCCAUCUACUCCUUCGGGAUUGCGGGGGGCGGAUGAUGGCCUCCCGUGCGCCUCGUCGCGCGGUUGGCAUAAAUGCCAAGUCCUCGGCGACGCACGCCACGACAAUCGGUGGUUGCGAAACCUCGGUUGCCCGUCGUGUGCGGUCGUCGCGCAUCGAGGGCUCGAAAAAAUUGCCGGGCUCCGGCUCGGCUUUCAACGCGACCCCAGGUCAGGCGGGGUUACCCGCUGAAUUUAAGCAUAUCAAUAAGCGGAGGA
rnacentral:misc_RNA from 1 species